GAUGAACGCUAGCGGGAGGCUUAAUACAUGCAAGUCGAGGGGUAACAGGGGCUUCGGCCCGCUGACGACCGGCGCACGGGUGAGUAACGCGUACGCAACUUACCUCCAAGCGAGGGAUAGCCCUGGGAAACUGGGAUUAAUACCUCAUGUGAUUAUGAUGCCGCAUGGUGUUAUAAUUAAAGUUCAGGCGCUUGGAGAUGGGCGUGCGUCCUAUUAGCUAGUUGGUGAGGUAACGGCUCACCAAGGCGACGAUAGGUAGGGGGCGUGAGAGCGUGGCCCCCCACACGGGUACUGAGACACGGACCCGACUCCUACGGGAGGCAGCAGUGGGGAAUAUUGCGCAAUGGGGGCAACCCUGACGCAGCCAUGCCGCGUGUGUGAAGAAGGCCUGG
rnacentral:rRNA from 1 species